rnacentral:tRNA from 1 species
AAGUUCGUAUUAUUCACCUCGCUCAAACCUCGGAGGAAUGGUCGAGUGGUUGAAGGCACCGGUCUUGAAAACCGGCGAGGGUUUACGCCC